AGGGGCUUAGGUUAGAUCCAAACCGGGGGCCUUCAAAGCCCCAACCGGGAGUGAAAAUCUCUCAGCCCCUG
rnacentral:tRNA from 1 species